rfam:Arabidopsis thaliana chromosome 5, complete sequence.
UUUGAUUCGUACACUUGGAUUGUACUAUCACUUUUAGUGUACAAAUAUAAAGUGUACGCUGUGUAUUUUUAUAUAUAUUUGUACACUAAAAGUGGUGUACAAUCUAAGUGUACGAAUCAAA